UACGUAGGGGGCAAGCGUUGUCCGGAUUUAUUGGGCGUAAAGAGCGUGUAGGCGGCCAGGUAGGUCUGCUGUGAAAACUCGAGGCUUAACCUCGAGCUGUCGGCGGAAACCAUCUGGCUAGAGUCCGGAAGAGGAGAAUGGAAUUCCCGGUGUAGCGGUGAAAUGCGCAGAUAUCGGGAAGAACACCCGUGGCGAAAGCGGCUUCCUGGUCCAGCACCGACGUUCAGGCACGAAAGCGUGGGGAGCAAACAGG
rnacentral:rRNA from 1 species